GGUGGGAAUCGUGAGUGGCAAACUUAGGACAUCAGAGGAAGCCUGCUGACCAGGCUGGCCAGCGGACCACAGGGCGCGGAGGAUGGUCACUCGGCAGGUAUUCGCCGUGCAGCUGCCCGGUGACACUUCAGUGGCCCCAGGGGCACAGCGCGUAGCUUCGGGGCCGAGGGGGACUUUGGGCACCAAGGCGGCAGGGCCACUAGGGCCUCUCUUCGGAGACCUCAACAGCAGUGGCCGGUCCUCCUCCCUCCAAAAGGCCACUGCCCUCCCCGCGCCACGGUCAGGAGGAGCCCGCGCAGGGAGCAGGAAGCCGAGGUUUUCAAGAUCCACUUAGAAACUAGCGCGUUGGCGCCCGCGGGAUGGGGCGCGGAGAGCGGAGGCUGCGUGCCUCACCCAGGAAGUGACUCAGACCCCGGGGCCGCGUCUCCACGUGGCCGGGGGCGGCCGUGCGGGUCCCGAUCCCCGCGCCGGGCUCCGACUGGGGAUAGCGGGCGCCACCCGUGGUCACCCGCGGACGGGGGAGUGGACAUGCCAGGGAUCCUGCCCUAGCAGCUGCCCGAGAGAGGCCGUCGUGGUGCGCAUUCUCCCUCCUCCAGCCGGGGUGCCCGGGGGCUGGGGAGGCCCCCGGUUCCACUUGAGGCUUUCUUCCCCAAGGAAGAGCUUGGCAAGGCCCUGACCCCCAGGAUACUGGCACCAAAACAAACAAAAAACCCACACCUGGGUCCAAUGGACCCUUUCUCCCCUUUCCCUUUCCUUUCCUUCAAACAAUUUCAUAAAAUACUAAAAACAACUAUUAGAAAUUAUGAUACAAAUUUAGAUAUAGCAGGAUUUGAAGACACACUCACCUCCAUUUAAUUAUUUUGUGUGUAUUUGAAUGUAGCCGACUGUUCACGAACUGUUAUGCAAGAACCCAUCUCAAAAAGACUGAUUUCAAGUUUCAAGUAGAUCUCUAGCCAGGCGAAGUGCACGCACCUCUUAGCCCAGUUACUCAGGAGGCUGAGGCAGGAGGAUCACAAGUUCAAAGCCAGCCCGGCAACAAAACAAAAACCAAACUCAAAUACAUGUCUGAUCGGCUCUAUCUUAGCAUUACUUCUGGUUCUACUUAAACGUGCAUUGUUAAAAUGCAAUUUAUUUUUUAAAAAAUGAUGCCGGGAAUCAAACCAAGGGCUUCAAACAUGAUAGAUAGGCAGUCAUUCUACCACUGAGCUACACCCCCAGUCCAGAAUGCAGAUUUUUUUUUGGGGGGGGGGGUAAGGGGAUUGAACUCAGAGACACUUCACCACUGAGUCACAUCCCCAGCCCUAUUUUGUAUUUUAUUUAGAGACAGAGACUCACUGGGUUGUUUAGCGCCUUGCUUUUGCUGAGGCUAGCUUUGAACUCCUGAUCUUCCUGCCUCAGCCUCCCCAGCUGCUGUGAUUACAGGCAUGCACCACCUCGACCAGCUCAGAAUGCAGUUUUUAAAUAAACAACAGUGAUGGCUUUUUUGUUGUUGUUGUUGAAGAGAUUCUGGCAUCUUCUUUGUUUCAUAAUUGCAAAACCUUUUCAUGUUUAUAUUUAUAAAAGUCAAUUCAAGUGGUCAAUAGAAGUUUUUAUUUCUUCAUGAUUUAUUUCUUUCUAUUUGUUACACACACCUGUCUUUAGCAUUUGUCCAGUUAUGAAUUGUUUCAAGUUAAUUUUAGUGCAUAAAUAUUGUAAAAAAUGAAAGAAUAAUGUUAUGUAUCUUUUUAGCAAAGUGCAAUGAUUUAAGUUUUUGUAAAAUAUUGUGUGAUGCAGUUCUUCCUUUGAACACUAAUGGGAUGAGAAUACCUUUUUGUCCUUUUGGUGAAAUAUAAUGUUCGCCAGUUGAUUCUUGCAAGUUUGGUUGGAGAGCAGCACAGGUACUUGUAUCUCCUAGACCAAAUUGCAGUAUUCUCCAUGUGGACAGCCAUCUUCCUGCACCCAAUGUACAACUUUGGAAGUGUCACAUAGGCACCCAUGAAGAAGUCAGCCUGAUCAGCCAUGAGUGAGGUGAUGCAUCUCAGUGACGUCAUAUUUCACUCUCUUAUGCAUGGAUGUCUAAGUCUGAGAAAAUUCAUCUAGGAUAUUGUCCUUUGAAACUCGUGGUAUGAUAUUUCACUUAUAUAAUUAAUUUCAUCAUUGUCCUUAGAGGGUGAAAUGGAACUGCCUGCAUUUAUCUUUUGUUUCAUUUGAUAAUUGUGAAAUGUAUUCUUUUGUCAGUUUUUUUCUUUUUGCCAUUACACAAAGAAAAUGAAAAAGUCCAAAUUCUCAAGUGUGUCAAGGGAAGCUAAUACAAAAACAAAAACAAAUAAUAACAGCAACAACAAUAAAACCCCAAACUAACACCCCACAAAAGAUGUAGGGUGUAGAACAACUUUUUGAAAGCUAAUGCAAUAUUUGGCCAUCACCAUAAAAAUGCCACAGGAUGAUGUGGGUAUGCCAUGAUAGUGAUUUAUUUCAUUUUUGCAGUGUCCACGUGAGUGACUCAUUA
rnacentral:lncRNA from 1 species